UGGGGAAUAUUGGACAAUGGGGGGAACCCUGAUCCAGCCAUGCCGCGUGUGUGAAGAAGGCCUUAUGGUUGUAAAGCACUUUAAGCGAGGAGGAGGGUACUGGUAUUAAUACUACCAGCUACUGGACGUUACUCGCAGAAUAAGCACCGGCUAACUCUGUGCCAGCAGCCGCGGUAAUACAGAGGGUGCGAGCGUUAAUCGGAUUUACUGGGCGUAAAGCGUGCGUAGGCGGCUAAUUGAGUCGGAUGUGAAAUACACGAGCUUAACUUGGGAAUUGCAUUCGAUACUGGUUAGCUAGAGUGUGGGAGAGGAUGGUAGAAUACCAGGUGUAGCGGUGAAAUGCGUAGAGAUCUGGAGGAAUACCGAUGGCGAAGGCAGCCAUCUGGCCUAACACUGACGCUGAGGUACGAAAGCAUGGGGGGAAAACAGG
rnacentral:rRNA from 1 species